GAUGAACGCUGGCGGCGUGCCUAAUACAUGCAAGUCGAGCGAACAGACGAGGAGCUUGCUCCUCUGACGUUAGCGGCGGACGGGUGAGUAACACGUGGAUAACCUACCUAUAAGACUGGGAUAACUUCGGGAAACCGGAGCUAAUACCGGAUAAUAUAUUGAACCGCAUGGUUCAAUAGUGAAAGACGGUUUUGCUGUCACUUAUAGAUGGAUCCGCGCCGCAUUAGCUAGUUGGUAAGGUAACGGCUUACCAAGGCAACGAUGCGUAGCCGACCUGAGAGGGUGAUCGCCCACACUGGAACUGAGACACGGUCCAGACUCCUACGGGAGGCAGCAGUAGGGAAUCUUCCGCAAUGGGCGAAAGCCUGACGGAGCAACGCCGCGGGAGUGAUGAAGGUCUUCGGAUCGUAAAACUCUGUUAUUAGGGAAGAACAAAUGUGUAAGUAACUAUGCACGUCUUGACGGUACCUAAUCAGAAAGCCACGGCUAACUACGUG
rnacentral:rRNA from 1 species